AGAGUUUGAUCCUGGCUCAGGACGAACGCUGGCGGCGUGCCUAACACAUGCAAGUCGAACGGACGAGGCCCCUUCGGGGACCGAGUUAGUGGCGGACGGGUGAGUAACGCGUGAGCAACCUGCCUUUCAGAGGGGGACAACAGUUGGAAACGACUGCUAAUACCGCAUGAUGCAGCGAGAUCGCAUGGUCUUGCUGUCAAAGAUUUAUCGCUGAAAGAUGGGCUCGCGUCUGAUUAGCUAGUUGGAGGGGUAACGGCCCACCAAGGCGACGAUCAGUAGCCGGACUGAGAGGUUGAACGGCCACAUUGGGACUGAGAUACGGCCCAGACUCCUACGGGAGGCAGCAGUGGGGAAUAUUGGGCAAUGGGGGAAACCCUGGCCCAGCAACGCCGCGUGAAGGAAGAAGGCUUUCGGGUUGUAAACUUCUUUUACCAGGGACGAAGAACGUGACGGUACCUGGAGAAAAAGCCACGGCUAACUACGUGCCAGCAGCCGCGGUAAUACGUAGGUGGCAAGCGUUGUCCGGAUUUACUGGGUGUAAAGGGCGUGUAGGCGGAGCUGCAAGUCAGAUGUGAAAUCUGGGGGCUUAACCCUCAAACUGCAUUUGAAACUGUAGCCCUUGAGUAUCGGAGAGGCAGGCGGAAUUCCUAGUGUAGCGGUGAAAUGCGUAGAUAUUAGGAAGAACACCAGUGGCGAAGGCGGCCUGCUGGACGACAACUGACGCUGAGGCGCGAAAGCGUGGGGAGCAAACAGGAUUAGAUACCCUGGUAGUCCACGCUGUAAACGAUGAAUACUAGGUGUGGGGGGACUGACCCCCUCCGUGCCGGAGUUAACACAAUAAGUAUUCCACCUGGGGAGUACGACCGCAAGGUUGAAACUCAAAGGAAUUGACGGGGGCCCGCACAAGCAGUGGAUUAUGUGGUUUAAUUCGACGCAACGCGAAGAACCUUACCGGGAUUUGACAUCCUACUAACGAAGCAGAGAUGCAUUAGUGCCCUUCGGGGAAAGUAGAGACAGGUGGUGCAUGGUUGUCGUCAGCUCGUGUCGUGAGAUGUUGGGUUAAGUCCCGCAACGAGCGCAACCCCUAUUGUUAGUUGCUACGCAAGAGCACUCUAGCGAGACUGCCGUUGACAAAACGGAGGAAGGCGGGGACGACGUCAAAUCAUCAUGCCCCUUAUGUCCCGGGCUACACACGUAAUACAAUGGCGGUCAACAAAGGGAAGCAAAGCCGCGAGGCAGAGCAAACCCCCAAAAGCCGUCUCAGUUCGGAUUGCAGGCUGCAACUCGCCUGCAUGAAGCUGGAAUUGCUAGUAAUCGUGGAUCAGAAUGCCACGGUGAAUACGUUCCCGGGCCUUGUACACACCGCCCGUCACACCAUGAGAGUCGGGAACACCCGAAGUCCGUAGUCUAACCCGCAAGGGAGGGCGCGGCCGAAGGUGGGUCUGAUAAUUGGGGUGAAGUCGUAACAAGGUA
rnacentral:rRNA from 1 species